rnacentral:rRNA from 1 species
UACGAAGGGGCUAGCGUUGUUCGGAAUUACUGGGCGUAAAGCGCACGUAGGCGGAUAUUUAAGUCGGGGGUGAAAUCCCGGGGCUCAACCCCGGAACUGCCUUCGAUACUGGGUAUCUUGAGUUCGGAAGAGGUGAGUGGAAUUGCGAGUGUAGAGGUGAAAUUCGUAGAUAUUCGCAGGAACACCAGUGGCGAAGGCGGCUCACUGGUCCGAUACUGACGCUGAGGUGCGAAAGCGUGGGAGCAACAGGG